CGCGUAGGCGGUUUGCUAAGUCAGAUGUGAAAGCCCUCGGCUUAACCGGGGACGUGCAUUUGAAACUGGCAGACUUGAGUACUGGAGGGGGUGGUGGAAUUCCCGGUGUAGAGGUGAAAUUCGUAGAUAUCGGGAGGAAUACCGGUGGCGAAGGCGACCACCUGGCCAGAUACUGACGCUGAGGUGCGAAAGCGUGGGGAGCAAACAG
rnacentral:rRNA from 1 species